rnacentral:rRNA from 1 species
GACGAACGCUGGCGGCGUGCCUAAUACAUGCAAGUAGAACGCUGAAGGAGGAGCUUGCUUCUCUGGAUGAGUUGCGAACGGGUGAGUAACGCGUAGGUAACCUGCCUGGUAGCGGGGGAUAACUAUUGGAAACGAUAGCUAAUACCGCAUAAUAGUAGAUGUUGCAUGACAUUUGCUUAAAAGGUGCAAUUGCAUCACUACCAGAUGGACCUGCGUUGUAUUAGCUAGUUGGUGAGGUAACGGCUCACCAAGGCGACGAUACAUAGCCGACCUGAGAGGGUGAUCGGCCACACUGGGACUGAGACACGGCCCAGACUCCUACGGGAGGCAGCAGUAGGGAAUCUUCGGCAAUGGACGGAAGUCUGACCGAGCAACGCCGCGUGAGUGAAGAAGGUUUUCGGAUCGUAAAGCUCUGUUGUAAGAGAAGAACGAGUGUGAGAGUGGAAAGUUCACACUGUGACGUAUCUACCAGAAAGGACGCA